rnacentral:rRNA from 1 species
AUUGAACGCUGGCGGCAGGCCUAACACAUGCAAGUCGAACGGUAACAGAAAGCAGCUUGCUGCUUUGCUGACGAGUGGCGGACGGGUGAGUAAUGUCUGGGACACUUCCUGAUGGAGGGGGAUAACUACUGGAAACGGUAGCUACUACCGCAUAACGUCGCAAGACCAAAGAGGGGGACCUUCGGGCCUCUUACCAUCGGAUAUGCCCAGAUGGGAUUAGCUAGUAGGUGGGGUAAAGGCUCACCUAGGCGACGAUCCCUAGCUGGUCUGAGAGGAUGACCAGCCACACUGGAACUGAGACACGGUCCAGACUCCUACGGGAGGCAGCAGUGGGGAAUAUUGCACAAUGGGCGAAAGCCUGAUGCAGCCAUGCCGCGUGUAUGAAGAAGGCCUUCGGGUUGUAAAGUACUUUCAGCGGGGAGGAAGGGAGUAAAGUUAAUACCUUUGCUCAUUGACGUUACCCGCAGAAGAAGCACCGGCUAACUCCGUG